rnacentral:rRNA from 1 species
GGCUUUUUGAAUAUAAUUUAAGGUCGGGCCUGCCCAAUGAUUAAAUUAAAUGGCCGCGGUAUAUUGACCGUGCAAAGGUAGCAUAAUCAUUAGUUUUUUAAUUGAAAGCUUGUAUGAAAGGUUUAAUGAGAAAAAUACUGUCUCUAUUUAAAUUUGUUAAAAUUUUAUUUUUAAGUAAAAAAGCUUAAAUAUGUAUUGAAGACGAGAAGACCCUAUAGAGUUUUAUAUUUUGUUUGGUAAAUAAUUAUUUAGAAUUUUAAAGAUUUGUUAAAUAAAGUAUUUGAUUGGGGUGAUUGAAAAAUUAAUAAAACUUUUUUUGUAUUUUUACAUUGAUAAGUGAGUAAUUGAUCCUUUAUUUAAGAUUAGAAGAUAAAAUUACCUUAGGGAUAACAGCGUAAUUUUUUUUAGAGUUCUUAUCGAAAAGAAAGAUUGCGACCUCGAUGUUGGAUUAAAAUUAAUUAUUGGUGUAGAGGCUAAUAAAUUAGGUCUGUUCGACCUUUAAAUUUUUACAUGAUCUGAGUUUAAACCGGUGUAAG